CACGCCCUAAACGAUGUCAACUAGUUGUCGGGUCUUAACGGGCUUGGUAACGCAGCUAACGCGUGAAGUUGACCGCCUGGGGAGUNACGCGAAAAACCUUACCUACCCUUGACAUGUACCGAAGCCCGCUGAGAGGUGGGUGUGCCCGAAAGGGAGCGGUAACACAGGUGC
rnacentral:rRNA from 1 species